rnacentral:rRNA from 1 species
GACGAACGCUGGCGGCGUGCCUAAUACAUGCAAGUAGAACGCUGAAGGGAGGAGCUUGCUCUUCUUGGAUGAGUUGCGAACGGGUGAGUAACGCGUAGGUAACCUGCCUUGUAGCGGGGGAUAACUAUUGGAAACGAUAGCUAAUACCGCAUAACAAUGGAUGACACAUGCCAUUUAUUUGAAAGGGGCAAUUGCUCCACUACAAGAUGGACCUGCGUUGUAUUAGCUAGUAGGUGAGGUAACGGCUCACCUAGGCGACGAUACAUAGCCGACCUGAGAGGGUGAUCGGCCACACUGGGACUGAGACACGGCCCAGACUCCUACGGGAGGCAGCAGUAGGGAAUCUUCGGCAAUGGGGGCAACCCUGACCGAGCAACGCCGCGUGAGUGAAGAAGGUUUUCGGAUCGUAAAGCUCUGUUGUAAGUCAAGAACGAGUGUGAGAGUGGAAAGUUCACACUGUGACGGUAGCUUACCAGAAAGGGGCGGCUAACUACGUGCCAGCAGCCGCGGUAAUACGUAGGUCCCGAGCGUUGUCCGGAUUUAUUGGGCGUAAAGCGAGCGCAGGCGGUUUGAUAAGUCUGAAGUUAAAGGCUGUGGCUCAACCAUAGUUCGCUUUGGAAACUGUCAAACUUGAGUGCAGAAGGGGAGAGUGGAAUUCCAUGUGUAGCGGUGAAAUGCGUAGAUAUAUGGAGGAACACCGGUGGCGAAAGCGGCUCUCUGGUCUGUAACUGACGCUGAGGCUCGAAAGCGUGGGGAGCGAACAGGAUUAGAUACCCUGGUAGUCCACGCCGUAAACGAUGAGUGCUAGGUGUUGGAUCCUUUCCGGGAUUCAGUGCCGCAGCUAACGCAUUAAGCACUCCGCCUGGGGAGUACGACCGCAAGGUUGAAACUCAAAGGAAUUGACGGGGGCCCGCACAAGCGGUGGAGCAUGUGGUUUAAUUCGAAGCAACGCGAAGAACCUUACCAGGUCUUGACAUCCCGAUGCUAUUCCUAGAGAUAGAAAGUUACUUCGGUACAUCGGUGACAGGUGGUGCAUGGUUGUCGUCAGCUCGUGUCGUGAGAUGUUGGGUUAAGUCCCGCAACGAGCGCAACCCCUAUUGUUAGUUGCCAUCAUUCAGUUGGGCACUCUAGCGAGACUGCCGGUAAUAAACCGGAGGAAGGUGGGGAUGACGUCAAAUCAUCAUGCCCCUUAUGACCUGGGCUACACACGUGCUACAAUGGUUGGUACAACGAGUUGCGAGUCGGUGACGGCAAGCUAAUCUCUUAAAGCCAAUCUCAGUUCGGAUUGUAGGCUGCAACUCGCCUACAUGAAGUCGGAAUCGCUAGUAAUCGCGGAUCAGCACGCCGCGGUGAAUACGUUCCCGGGCCU